rnacentral:rRNA from 1 species
UACGGAGGGUGCAAGCGUUAUCCGGAUUCACUGGGUUUAAAGGGUGCGUAGGCGGCCUGAUAAGUCAGUGGUGAAAGCUUCCCGCUUAACGGGAAAACUGCCAUUGAAACUGUCGGGCUUGAGUACGAUUGAUGUGGGCGGAAUACAUCAUGUAGCGGUGAAAUGCUUAGAUAUGAUGUAGAACACCGAUUGCGAAGGCAGCUCACAAAAUCGCAACUGACGCUGAGGCACGAAAGCGUGGGGAGCAAACAGG